rnacentral:lncRNA from 1 species
GUCUUUUCUAGGGCCACACCCUCAGCAUAUGGAGGUUCCUAGGCUAAGAGUCUAAUUGGAGCUGUAGCUGCCAGCCUAUGCCAGAGCCUCAGCAAUGCAGGAUCUGAGCCGACUCUGCAACCUACACAACAGCUCACCAUAGCGCUGGGUCCUUAACCCACUGAGCAAGGCCAGGGAUCAAACCCACAACCUCACAGUUCCUAGUCAGAUUCUUUAACCACUGAGCCACAAUGGGAACUCUGCAAAGCAAGUUAUUUGAAUGCCUUAAGAAUAACAUAGAUGAAAUUCUACAGAAUUACAGGAGAGCAGGAAUUCCAAGAUACUUUGGCUAGCACUGCUCUAGGAAAGCUGGGUGUUUUCCUCUUUCUUUCUAUCUCCGGCUCUGCUGGGAUCCACUAGAAGCUGGUUCACUUCAUGAUUAUGAAAUUUUGCAUUGGUGCUGAGAAGUGGUCCAACUGUCCAAGUUCUAACUUUUAGUCCCUUUGCAUUGGCCUUGGGGAAAGAGGCAUGAUUUUUUCUAUUUUUCUCUCAUAUAGAGAGAAAAAAGUGAAGCUCAGCAAGGUCAAGUACAAGUCAAAAAUUGUUAUGUAAGGCAGAUCUUCACUUCUGCAACUAUCUAGAGUUUCGGUGCACACAACAAGGCUUGUUUCAAGAGUGAUUUAUUACAAGUUUGCCUUUUUAGGUCCUUAAUAAUGGCCAUCCAAUAGGAUGCUUGCUUUUUCCUGGGAUCAGGCUGAUAUCCCUUUUAUGUGAAGAGAUGCUGGAGUUGGUAGAAUGCAAGCUAAAGGGAAUCUGCAAGCCCUGGGCAAGUAAGUUGCAACAGGUUCCAUAAACUCCAUUUGAUAUGAGGGUUAAGUCUUAGAAAGCUUUCUGUAAAACAGGUGUAAUUGGCCUGUAUGUGUGAAAGAUAACUAAAAAUACUUAUUGAAUGUUUAGUAUGUUCCAGGUUUAAGCAUUUUAUAUGGAUUACUUUUUUUAUGGUUACUCUUAUUACCCUUUUUUUACAAACAAGGAAACAGAGUCUUGGAGUGAUCAAGGAAUUUUUCCAAGGUUACACAGCUAGAAGCGGUGAAAUCAGUAUUUGAAAUAGGAGUGUAUAAAGAAGUAAUGUAAAAUAAGGAAAUAAAAUAUUAUUUAUAGAUAUACACACAUGUACACAUAAACACUUGUACAAACAUGUCUACAUACAUAUUAAAAUUUACUCUCCCCAAAUUAUUUCAUGUGGCUUACAACAAAGGACUCAUAUAAAGUGAAGAAAGUAGACAAUCAAGGCCAUGAGAAGGAAGAAUAUGCUAACCAUGACUGUAAUUUGUGAUUGAUCAUCAAAUGUGAAAAUAAGAAAGGAAAACUCUUUCUUAUAGACCCCUUUUAAAGCCAUUUCCUUCAGGAAACUAACAGUUGUUUUUAUUUUCCUAACCCUAUGUUAUAAAAAUUGAAUAAAAAGUCUUUGAAAGCUAUGAUUUUUCAUAUUUUAAAUUUUGGGGAACUCCCAGCAUUUGAAAUUUCUUGAUAUUUAUUUUUAAGUAAGAUAAUUAAAAUUCAGAGUUCCUGCUGUGGAGCAGUGGGUUAAGAAUUUGACUACAGUGGCUCAGGUCACUCCAGAGGCACAAGUUCCACCCCAGGUCCAACACAGUAGGUUAAAGGAUCUGGGGUUGCCACAGCUUCGGCUUGGAUUCAAUCCCUGGCCUGGGAAUGUCCAUAUGCCUCAGGUGUGGCCAUUAAAAAAAAAGAUAUUUAAAAUUCUAAAAAGUAUUUCCUAGAUGGUAAAGUACUAUAUUACAUUUAGUUCUAAGCCUCUUCUCCUUACUUUGUGGCAAGGAUCUAUCUAUCAUAGAAGAGCUGGAAUUCUAUUCCAUCACUUUUAAAAUUUACAGAAGAGCAGGCAAUUUUCCUCUUCCAAAAUUCUGGUAUGCGCAGUGCCUAGCACAUCAAUCCUUCUCAAUAAAUAAUUUGCAAAAGAAUACUGAAUGGUGGCUUAUACUGCUACAUAAUGCCCAAUAAACCACCAAUAUACAAUAUGUGUUAAAAAAUGUGCCAUUAUCCAAAUCUAAAGGCUCUGUGGACCCACCAGUUUUCCAAUAGCAGUAAUGACUUGCAACUAGUCAUUUCUAUGCACUUCUUUUUGCUUCCUUGCAUCAGUCCUGGUCAGUUAGCACCAUGUACUGCCAGAGGUCUCCAAACUUGACUGCAAAAACCCUGGGAUAUGUGCUAAGACUAUAACAUAGGAUUAUGGGAAGAAAAUAUCAUAUCACAUUUAAUUUUUAUUUUUAUCUGAUUCUUUUUCAUUUAGUUUUUGUGAGUGUAUGCUUUGUAAUAAUAACUAAUAUAUCUAUGCAGUGGUGCAUUUUUAAAACAUGUACAUAGAUAUACAUAUUGAGGAUAUACACUCAAACAUUUUACUGAUAGCAAUAUGUGAUUUAGAAGUUUGAAAAUGCAGUUUUAAAUAAUUCUGCUAAGUGUAUUUCAACCAAAAAAAAAUUUUGUGGCCAUAAAGAAGUAGAGAAUGUUUUCCUAUAGUUGGGUCUAGGAGUAGGAGUGGGGAGCGGGCCUGUCUUUCAUAUUUUUCAUAACGUGAAUAUUCUAGCAAAUAAUUCACAUUUCACUCAGCAAUUAAAUAUAGCAACUCGUGUUGAUUUUUUUUUCCUCUUCAAAAAAGAGGACAGUGAAAUCCCUGAGAAAGUUUUUUCUGACUUUUCCUCCAUCUGCCUUUUGCCCCUGAAGUUUGUAAUUUGGAAGAAAGGGCUGUUGAGUUAUUCAAAACCUAUGUUGGGUAUUAAGAGUCCUGGGUUUAAGUUCCUUCUUCAAUGGUAUUCUGAGUAACCUUAAGCAAUCCCAUUUCUCUUAUGGAUAAAAUAGAGAUAAUACUUAGCACUAACCUCAAGGCAGUGUGUAGAGUGGAUAAAGAACAUUUGUUCCUUCUGGCAACUAAAUGCAGAGCAUCAUUAAUAUAACCUUUACUAUUAUAGGUUUAAAAUGUGAUUUUAUAUACUUAUCUCUGUUAAAAAUUAUUUCCUUCUAAAAAAUAAACAUCACAUUUCUAAAUAACACCAUUUGUUUUCUAUACUUCAUAAACUUAAAUUUUCUCCAUAUCUGUUCCUGGUUCCCAGUCUUUCACACACAAGCACAUACACACUCAUUUGCUAACUUUAUGGAUGUGAGAGAAAAAUCUCAAGAUAACAUCAAGGAAAUAAAGAGGGAUUUGAAAUAAGUUCUCUUAUCCAGUGUUCCUUUAAGUUUUAAAGCUACACAUCUAGUCCAUAAAAUCCUAAUGUUUAUUUAAUCAUCAAAAUGUUUGUGUUUAAGAAUAAUUCACAGACUCUUAAAUCAGAAAGAACCAUAAGAAAACAUCUAGGACCUAUGAUAAUGCCUGGUACACAGUAGAUGCUGAAUAAACAUUUAAUGAAGGGAAACUAGGGGAAGCUUCUUAUUUUAACCUUAUAAGAAAAAAUGAAAACAAAACCUCAAACCAAAUCUGAGAGUUAAAGAGGCUAAAUUAGUUGCUCAAGAUUGUUUAGCAAGUUUGAGAGUUGGGUCUAGAAUUUAUUUCUCUUAGUUUCCAGCUAAGGCUUUUCCUCAGCAACCUGUUGACUUGUUUAUGUAGGACUGUCAAAUAUAAACUGUUAAAGAUGCAUCAUAGAAAGAAAAAUUAGAAAUAAGUGUCCUUGGGGUCACCAUCUCCCAAAGUCAUCCAACAUGAGAUGUUCACAUAUGACUUGAAGUAAAGUAAAUAUCAUAUAUAAAAUAUCAAAAAUAUAGAUCUUGCAUAUAUUGAUUCAAAAGGCCUAUUUUGAAGGAAAAGGGUCAACAACCAAUCUUCCACGACUUAGUCUACUUUUCGGUACUGUUUGUAUGCCCACACAGGUGAUUUGCAGUCCUCUGAUCAGCUACAAGUAGAGUCACUAUUUCAGCAAAAUGUUUAUCUUUGUUUCUGGGUACCGUUGUGUUGAUUUUUCUCAAUUUACCUACGAAUGAAGCAUCAACAACCUCAAUGUAUUACAGUCCUAAUAAACUUAUCUUGCACUAUUUUGGCCUGUGUGAUAGCUAACCCAUUGAUAAAAGAAUCCAAGCUGAUUAAAAGCCUUUCCUGGCCACUUGUUAGCCAAGUCAGGCUGUAGAAUCAUAACACAAUGCACGCCUCUUCCAUGGGGCACCACAAGGCAA